rnacentral:lncRNA from 1 species
AAAAUGCUAAAUUUGAUCGGUUUAAGCAUUCAAUUCAGGAUUUUAAGAAUUACAUACAUCGAGCGUAUAUGUUUUACCAGAUUUUAAGUGUAAAAGUUUCUUAAUUUGUUAAACUAUAAGUGCGCGCAGACAUUUCGAAAGACAACAGUAAACCCAAAAAUCAGACGAAGGGACCAGUUAAAAGCGUACAAUCUGUGAUCACUGAUCCUGAUUUUGUAUACGGUAUGGAAACACGACUUUAUUUUCUGCCAAGAUAAAGUUAAGAUCCGACGUUUAGCGAAAACUCACAACUUUCAAAAUUUUUCCAACUCUGGUAAACUAAACACGCGCUGAAUUGAUCAACAUCAAAGCAUUUUUCUUACUGUACAAAUAUACCAGUGCAGUGCAAUCAAAAAUCCAAGUUACUCUUUGAUUGGAAGCGCAUGCCACGUGGCAUAUUGUUUUUGUUUAAUCCGUUUCAGUGUCCGUUGCCAUUAAUUUCUCGUGGCUGCUGUGUUACCACAUAAGCUUCGUUUUUACAUUCACGUGCUUUUUACUACCUCAGUUUUCCCUUUUUUUUUAAUUUAAGGGUUAAUUACAUAUAAUUUUAUGUAAACAAUAUAAAAUUAUAUUUUUUUUAUUUUUAAAUUUUUAUUUUUAUAAAAGUAUUACUGAUUAAUUAGAAAAAUAUAAUUAAUUGUAAAUAAAAUACUUAUUUAUAGUUAAUAAAUAAGUUAAAUUAAUCUUUUUUAUCUAUCUCAUAUUAUUAAAUAAAAUAAUUUGUUAGAUCAUAUUUUUGUAUAAUUCUAACCUUUUGGACUUUUGGAGGGAUAUAUUUAUAAAAAUAAAAAUAUCAUUUUACUUUACUGCUGUUAAAAAAUAAACAGUACUCUAAUAGUAACAAACCAGAUGAAUGAAUAUAAAUAUCAUCAAAUUCUUAUAAAAAUAAAAAUAAAAUGCUAAAUCUUAUAAAAAUAUAUUU